UUGAUUCUCAUGGCACUAGUGAAGCUCAGUCUAGUAUCAUUACUGUCUUGUACAUCAAAUGAUGCCCAUUUGUCGGUUUAUUGUUGUAUCAGUAGAAUGUUUGAACUGUUGUAUCAGUUUAUUCUUUUUUGCGAGGGAUUGGAUAGUCAUGUGACGUCUGGACUUGUUGGAUCAAGAAAGAUAAUAAGAUGCAAAGGUGAGGAAACAUAUUUAUUUGUAUUGAAAAGAGUUCAUACUUCAUAAUUUAUAUGCGUAGCUGCUAAUUGAAUCUUCUUAGUGUUCAGGGUUCAACCUGUGCCUUAUCACUUGCAGACCUGGAUUUAUUUUGCAGUGAGUGCAAAUAAUGUGUUUGAUUACCUCGUCCUUUGUAAGCUCAAGAGUAAUCCAAGCUAAACAUUCCCACCUAUAUUUGCACUGAGUACGAAUAGAUAUAUUAAACUAAAGCCUGUGGACUGUAGCUCUAAGAUCAUCAGUUCUGACAAAUUAUCAUUGAUGUGAUCUCCUAUUUGUAAUUUCUCGCUGGUGUUGCUAUGCUAGUUGGAUGGUUACCGAAGGUGUUGAGGUUUGGAAUCUCUGGAUGAUUAUUAAAGGUGUUAGCUCCAGGCUCAAUCAACAAAUGUUGUCAAUUUAACAGUUCUAUUGUACCUCCUGGUGAAUAGAGAAUCACCACAAGCCUCAUAGUUUUGGCAGCCUAAUUCAUGCUGCAAAAGGAGAUGGGCAUGAAGUGAGUAAGGAACAUUUAUAAGCUUAAAGUAGAUGAGAAGGAGGUUAGCUACCAAGCGCACAAUGCUUAAAAAGCAAAAAUCAUAAGAUCAAAUACUAUUGGUUGCUUAAUUUUGAAUUCAGUUUGUUAUUUCUUGCAAGUUUCCAAAUUAGACGGAGGCUAUGUUAACGCGUUUGAAUAAUAUGAUAUUGGUCAAAUCUGUUUGAAGUAUUAUUAAUUAGUUUAAAGUAAUUUUGUUUUAUAAUCUUUAUUGUGUGAUUCAGAACUCUCUUAUUAGUGAACAUCUUCCCUUUCGACAUUACUCCCAUCAGGACAUUUUUUUGAUAAUCUAGCAGGUACACUACUAUUAGUAAUUUACCUUUGUACAAAGGAUGUCAGUCUCCUCGAUCUUCACAAGGCUGAAAAUGAUUCUUAUCUCCUGCUCGGUAGGUAGAAAAGGAACGAAGCAUGUGAAGCCUAAUUUUUUUCUUAAAAGAAUGUCCUAGGCUGGUUCUAUUCUCUUUCAGCGGUUUAAGAUACGCCUAAUUGCUGGGAACAAAUGCACUAAUAAGUGGACAAUAUAUUGUCUUCAGAUCUUCUUGAUGUGGACAUGAGCCAUUGAAAACUGUUGGACUGUUUAUCUUCUUUAACUUGUAGGCUUGUUCAAAUACUUAGGGAUUAACUAAAGUGACGUUCAAUGUGCCUUUUGUACCAAUCGACUAGACCUUCUAAUUCAUCUAUUGCCACUUACUUGAAGACAAGGGAGUAUAUAUUUACCCGUUGAUAGAACCUUCUAUUCAAAUACUCUUUUUCUAGUCAUACUUACUAAUCAAAGGCUUCCUGGUGAGGCAUUUACACCAUACACUUUUUGAGAUUUUACAUUAUUAGAUCCAUAUGUAUUAUAUUGUUUAGAUUGUAAGAUUCAAAUUGUGUAAUGAUGUUGGAUUUUAGGAUCCAGCCCAUUGUGAACAGGUUUUUCUGAGUGUUGUAAAAACUGUAAAAGGGAUCAUGAUAUCUUUCACCUUGGAAUUUCCAAUGUUAUAUUUCAAGUUUAGUUUGUACUUCUGGAUGCUGACCAUGACUUAUCUUUUUGCAGAGGUCCACGAUGGGUAAGUGUGAACUUAGCUUACUUUCAAGUUUGCUUACACGAUUGAAAGUCAACUUAGCUUUCCUCUGUCUAGGAAUGCGAAUGAGUCACUGAAAUGCAACAUAUACUUGCCUCAGCUCUGAUUUGUCAAACUAGUAUCUAUUAGAAUUUUGAUGCAUCUCAAUAACUGCUUCGUGUCAACUGCAGGUAAGAUCUGCAACCCUGGACACAUGGCUUCCAGAGCAGGUUGCAUUUAUUCAAUACAUUUGUAUUGGCACAUGUUUGGGGCGGCUGAUUUGUUUUAAUUGGCACUGGUCAUUCACAGCAAUGGGAAAUGAAAAGGCAAAUAGCUAUUGGGAAGCAGAACUCCUCCAAACUAUGACAGAGUUGGAAUAGAGAACUUCAUUCGUGCAAAGUACGCUUGCUUCUAAUUCUAAUUUUCUUGUACUGUGAUUCUUCACAGUUCUACUUAAGAUUUGUAUAGCUGGAUGCGGUAGCCUGAAAAAUAGUUCAAUCGCCAAAUAUGAAGAUAAAAGAUGGAUACCUAGAAAUUCUACUGCAAGAUCACAUUUACAGUAUGGAGAAGAGAAGGUUUCUGAAUAUAAGGAAAAGUCUGAUGAUAGGCGUGCACAAGGUUCUAUUAAUAAAGCAGAUUCUCCUGGGGAGCACAAAAGCCCUGAGCAACAGGGUCCAAAGAAAACCAGCCUAGUAGUCCCAAAGUUACCUACUCCGGAGCAGAAGUUUCUGGUUGGUGUUAUCUUGAUGGUCCCUUGUUAUGCCAUUGAAUCGAAAGUGAAGAUGCUAGGUGCCGAAGAGCUCUCAAUUGGUGACCUUGAGAUUUGACCUGUGAAUGCAUCAUGGAACCCCCUGAACUCUCUGCUGACGAUGCUUUCAGGUCUAUUUCUGUGGCC